ensembl:lncRNA LINC02347 long intergenic non-protein coding RNA 2347
GGGAAUACCAGGGGUGGGCACUGUCAAGAGACCCAGCUUUGACUUCAAAUGCCACCCAGAGGGACAACUGCUCACUUUCAGAGCAGGAGCAGGAGGCCAGAGGAGAGUACCAGCUGAAACUGAUUAGAGCCAAGAUAGCCAACCAAAUGACUUCAGGAAGACCUCAGGCUUCAUUAUCAUCUCAUUUCCAUGCUAAAAAAACCCAGCUCCCUAGAACAAUGGGAAAUAUUGGGCACUUCAUCAGGCGAGUUCAGGUGCAUUUCUAGAGAUUGUCCAGGUGCUGGUAACAAUAAUAGAGAACCAUCCAUAUCCACAAGAGGCAGAACCUCUUCCAGCAAAAUGGUGCUGCCUCACCCAAAGCUGGUUGAGGCUUUAUUCAAUUCAAAUUCAAGCUGUUAAAUCGAGGCUCUCAGACUCCUGCUGCCUGGCCAGUGGAGAAAUUAACUUUCACAUAUGGCUUUGGGAUUUCUCUCUGUCAUCCUGGUCGACGUGUUCUCUCAUUUUUCUGAAGUCUGGGACCUCAACACAGACAUCUGGGUGAAGGCCUUGACAGCAGCGCUGGUGCAAAAUGAAUUGUCACAUCACACCCAACGUUCUCAACCUUUAGAAUCUGAAAGUAAGAAAAACACCUCAAACAUUGAUUCUGAGUAAUCAGCACAGAUUUCUAAAAGAAACUUUAUGGGAUGCUGAGACAUGAAUAAAAACAACUUUAUUCCUUUGGAAAGGACAACCCACAUGCUAAGAAGAUGACACUACACGUUGUUAUAGCCCGAAAGGCCCUCUUUCCACAGGGGAGCAGUGAAAAGUAGAGGUUGCCCAUGUGGAUUCCCAAGUCAGAUAGAUGUGGAUUCAGAUCCCAGCUCUGCUGCUUGCUACCCAAGAGACCAUGGACUGUGGACUCUUUAGGUCUCAGGGUUUUUGUUUGUUGUCUGUUUUUCACUUCCAAAACCAGAAAAUGAGAAGAUAUUUUCCAUAAGAUGGCGGUGGAGAAGAGAACUUGAUGGACCUUGCUUGGACAAAAUGCCUUCACCGCUAACUCAGUCAGCUAUGGCGAUGGGUCAAGGACCUGGUGGUUUUACAGAGAAGACCCUUGGUCAAAUCUUUGUGAAUGAAGCAACCAUUCUGAUGUUCAAUAACAGGAAUGCACCAGUUUAUACCAAACUAUCUGUACUAUUGAGAACAGCAAAAAUAUCUGACCAAAAACACCAAAGAGUGACAUUUUAAAAGACAUCAAAGAACUCUCAAGGCUUCCAGAGUUGGAAAGAUCAAGAAAGAGAGAAUGCAACUUCAUUAAGUGACUCAACUCCAAAUAGGAGCAUUUCAAGAGUAUGUAUUUCAACAAAGAAGUAUUAGAAGAUGACAGUGUCCUUGCAGUAUCUUUUAGGGGCUAUCAGAACAUGAUUUCUGCUAUAUUCUAUCAUCGGAGCCUUAAUAAUGUUAACUAUAAUUCAAGGGAAGAUCAAAUAAACUUCACCUUUCAAGGAAA